GAUGAACGCUAGCGGGAGGCCUAAUACAUGCAAGUCGAACGGUAACAGGGUAGCAAUACCGCUGACGAGUGGCGCACGGGUGAGUAACACGUACACAAUCUGCCUUAUACUGGAGCAUACCCCCAAGAAAUUGGGACUAAUUCUCCAUAACAUAUCGAAGAGGCAUCUCUUUGAUAUUAAAACUCCGGUGGUAUAAGAUGAGUGUGCGUCUGAUUAGCUAGUUGGUAGGGUAACGGCCUACCAAGGCAACGAUCAGUAACUGGUCUGAGAGGAUGAUCAGUCACACGGACACAGAGACACGGGUCCGACUCCUACGGGAGGCAGCAGUAGGGAAUAUUGGACAAUGGGCGCAAGCCUGAUCCAGCCAUCCCGCGUGAAGGAUUAAGGCCCUCUGGGUUGUAAACUUCUUUUUUGGGGGAAUAAAAACUGGGAUUUAUCCUGGCUUGAAGGUACCCCAAGAAUAAGCACCGGCUAACUCCGUGCCAGCAGCCGCGGUAACAC
rnacentral:rRNA from 1 species